rnacentral:rRNA from 1 species
GAUGAACGCUGGCGGCGUGCCUAAUACAUGCAAGUCGAGCGAACAGACGAGAGUGCUUGCACUCUCUGACGUUAGCGGCGGACGGGUGAGUAACACGUGGGUAACCUGCCUAUAAGACUGGGAUAACUUCGGGAAACCGGAGCUAAUACCGGAUAAUAUUUAGCUUCGCAUGAAGCAAUAGUGAAAGACGGUUCUGCUGUCACUUAUAGAUGGACCCGCGGUGUAUUAGCUAGUUGGUGAGGUAACGGCUCACCAAGGCAACGAUACAUAGCCGACCUGAGAGGGUGAUCGGCCACACUGGGACUGAGACACGGCCCAGACUCCUACGGGAGGCAGCAGUAGGGAAUCUUCCGCAAUGGACGAAAGUCUGACGGAGCAAUGCCGCGUGAGUGAAGAAGGUUUUCGGAUCGUAAAACUCUGUUGUAAGGGAAGAACAAGUACGUUAGUAACUGAACGUACCUUGACGGUACCUAAUCAGAAAGCCACGGCUAACUACGUG